UCCUCUCAAAUCCCUUUUAAUCCAAACUCCAUCUUUAAUUCAUCCAACAAUCCUACUAGUAAAUAAUAACAAUAUCAUUCAAGAUUUGAUCAUCAACUAAGAGAAAUUGAAAGUGUGAGAUGGGGGAGUGUGGGUCGAUUUCAAAAGGGAAAAAGGAAGGAGACUAGAAGUGUGAAUUCAAUUCUCUUCACGUGUGUUUAUUUUAAUUAAUCAAAUCCUUCCAAGAAUUUUAACAAUAAUCUUCAACAAGCAAAAAUUGAAAAGCUAAAGUUUAUGUAUGGUAGUGGUGGUGGCCGAAUUUUCAAGAGAGAAAAGAGGGAAGGAAGAAGUGUUAUUUAAAGUUUAAUUUCUUGAAUUUUUGAGGUGGUUCCGGAAGAAAGAACUAGGUAUUGUUGAUUUGAAGUUGUUGACUUGAAGUGUUAGUGACUUGAAGGUAUUUGGUCAUCCGUAGAAGAAUGACAUUUUGGUUAGAAACCUAGUUAAUUCCCUCUCAAACUCUUGGCUCUUGAUACAUGUGUCUUUCGAAUGAGAAUGUUGUGUAUGAUGUAUUUUAAGUCUUGAAGUCUUGACUAUUAUGGUGGAUUGAAGUAUAAAUCAUUUUGGAGUCAACUUGGUCAUUUCGUCACUUUGGGUAAAUGCGGGCGAGUGACCCGCUUGGUUGUUUUAAUGUAAAUUUCAAUGGUUAAAGUUUCGAAUGUAGUAAUUAUGUUGUAAAUUACGUCA